rnacentral:tRNA from 1 species
AAUAAAAUAAGCUAAUUGAAAAGCUAUUGGGUUCAUACCCCAAAAAUGAGGGUUCUCUUUUAUUA